rnacentral:lncRNA from 1 species
GGAACAUAUCUACAAUUUAACAGCUGGGCUUUCCAAGUGCAGUGCACAGUGUCCCAUUUAAAAAAAAAACACCAAAAAGCAUGCAGUUGCUAAACGAUGGGUUCCUGACAGCAAGCUGCCGGGAUGGGAAUGCUCUGCUGCGUGACUUCAUGCUUCUUGGCGAUUCUGGACAUUUACAAACUUUGCAGAUCCCUGGAUGACCCACCUGUUCCUUUACUUUGGAAAGAGAAUGACCUAUCUUCUUUGGGUCACUGAUUCUCAAAAAUUCUUUGCUUAAAAAAAAAAAUGAGACUACAAGAAGGAUUUUCUAAGAUGCAGAAUUCGAUGGGUUUUCUAAGACGCAGACGAGCCUGGAGGGUUACCUCCUGGAUGUUGAAUUGGCAAUUAAACUAACCGCCACGGCGUCUAUUUCGGUUGUGCUGUUUGGAGACAGGACAACGAGGCCUAGCCAACUCCAUGAGGUCUGUUUCUCUGGAAAAGAAGAGCUGGAGGUAUGGAUUCACAUGUAUUUUCUGGGGAGAGACAGUGGCACUUCUGCUGACAGAGGGGUGAACUGAUGUCAGAGUUCCCAGGCCUGGAGUGCUGUGAGAUGCUAACUCGAAGCUCAAUUCUGUGCUGAGGAGUUGACAUCCGAAUAGCCUCCGUGGGUUUGUGUGGCAAAGAUAAGAAUAUUAUCUACUGCCUUCAGGGGUGCCCUUUUCACCAAUUUUUGCACAACAAAGACCAAAGCCGGGCAGGUUUCUGUAAGAAUCUCUUCUCGUGAGGCUUAAGCGUCUCGAAACUAUCAACCGAAACAUUUUCACAGUGGGAGGAAGCAAUAAACAAAUCUCAGGCCACACAGCCUUUAUUAUUUAUUUAUUUAUUUAUUUUGGUCAGUGUACCAUGCAUUACUCUGAC